CGACCCUCAAGCCCUGUUUGCUUGGUGUUGGGGCCCUGCCGCGGACUCACCGUCCCCGCAGGCCCUCAAGGUCAGUGGCGGGCUCGCUAGUGCUCCGAGCGUAGUAGCAAUCGUUUUCUCGCUCAGGACGCGCGGCGGGCUCCCAGCCGUAAAACCCCCCAAUUUACCAAAGG
rnacentral:misc_RNA from 1 species